rnacentral:tRNA from 1 species
GGGACUGUGGCUCAGUGGUAGAACAUCUGCUUGGCAUGCAAAAAGCCACAGUUUCAACCCCUGGUGGCUGAUUACGCA